rnacentral:rRNA from 1 species
GAUCCUGGCUCAGGGUGAACGCUGGCGGCGCGCCUAACACAUGCAAGUCGAACGGACGAUGAAAAGCUUGCUUUUCAAAGUUAGUGGCGGACGGGUGAGUAACGCGUGGGUAACCUGCCUCAUACAGGGGAAUAGCAGCUGGAAACGGCUGAUAAAACCGCAUAAGCGCACAGUGCCGCAUGGCACAGUGUGAAAAACUCCGGUGGUAUGAGAUGGACCCGCGUCUGAUUAGCUGGUUGGG